rnacentral:rRNA from 1 species
AUACGGAGGGUGCAAGCGUUAUCCGGAUUCAUUGGGUUUAAAGGGUACGUAGGCGGAUAGAUAAGUUAGUGGUGAAAUCCCGAAGCUCAACUUCGGAACUGCCAUUAAAACUGUCUAUCUUGAAUUUGGUUGAAGUGGGCGGAAUAUGACAUGUAGCGGUGAAAUGCAUAGAUAUGUCAUGGAUCACCAAUAGUGAAGACAGCUCACUAAGCCAAUAUUGACGCUGAGGUACGAAAGCAUGGGUAGCGAACAGGAUUAGAUACCCUAGUAGUCC